rnacentral:rRNA from 1 species
UACAGAGGUCUCAAGCGUUGUUCGGAUUCAUUGGGCGUAAAGGGUGUGUAGGUGGCGCCGUAAGUCGGGUGUGAAAUCUUGGAGCUUAACUCCGAAACUGCAUUCGAUACUGCCGUGCUUGAGGACUGGAGAGGAGACUGGAAUUUACGGUGUAGCGGUGAAAUGCGUAGAUAUCGUAAGGAAGACCAGUGGCGAAGGCGGCGACCUGGGCCAAUAUUGACGCUGAGGUGCGAAAGCGUGGGGAGCAAACAGG